rnacentral:rRNA from 1 species
AAUAUUGCACAAUGGGGGAAACCCUGCUGCAGCGACGCCGCGCGAGCGAGGAAGGCCUUCGGGCGGGAAAGAUCUGUCCUAAGGGAGGGAACGGACGGUACCUUAGGAGGCAGCCCCGGCUAACCACGUGCCAGCAGCCGCGGUAAUUCGUAGGGGGCGAGCGUUAUCCGGAAUUAUUGGGCGGAAAGGGUGGGUAGGCGGUCUUUUAAGUCAGAUGUGAAAGGCUACGGCUUAACCGUAGUUAGCAUUUGAAACUAAAAGGCUUGAGUGGAGGAGAGGAGAGUGGAAUUCCUAGUGUAGCGGUGAAAUGCGUAGAUAUUAGGAGGAACACCAGUGGCGAAGGCGACUCUCUGGACUGCAACUGACGCUGAGGCAAGAAAGCGUGGGGAGCGAACA